rnacentral:rRNA from 1 species
UGAGGAAUAUUGGACAAUGGGCGCAUGAAUUCCAGCCAUGCCGCGUGCAGGAAGACGGCCCUCUGGNUUGUAAACUGCUUUUAUCAGGGGAUAAAGAUCAGCUAUACGCUGAUUUGCAGGUACCUGAAGAAUAAGCACCGGCUAACUACGUG